rnacentral:RNase_P_RNA from 1 species
UCGCGCCGGAGGAAAGUCCGGACUCCAUAGGGCAGGAUGUCCCGCUGUAAUGGCGGGAAGCGUGUGUGCAAAACACACGGAUGGAAAGUGCCACAGAAACAAAACCGCCGGGGUUCGCCCCGGUAAGGGUGAAAUGGCGGUGUAAAAGACCACCGUGCAGGCGCGAAAACGCCUGCGCAAGGCAAACCCCAUCCGGAGCAAGAUCAAAUAAGAAACGUAACGUGCGGCCCGCACGGGUUCGUCCGGCUUGCCCGGACCGGCGUUUCGGGUUGAUUGCUUAGAUGAAUGAUCCGAGCCGCUCCCUGAGCGGAUACAGAAUCCGGCUUAUGAUUCCUCCU